rnacentral:misc_RNA from 1 species
ACAUAGAUCCAGUGCCAAUUGCUUCAGCAUCAAUAGCUCAGGUUCACGGUGCGAGGCUGAGAAGUUCACAGCAGGAAGUUGUUAUAAAGGUGUUGAAGCCGGGUGUUGAAGAUACAUUGGUUGCAGAUUUAAAUUUUGUAUACAUUGUUGCUCGUAUUUUAGAGUUCUUAAACACAGACCUUCGCCGAACAUCGUUGGUAGGUAUUGUCAAAGAUAUAAAAGAAUCAAUGCUUGAAGAGGUUGACUUCCGUAAAGAGGCUGUAAAUAUAGAGGCUUUCACGAGGUAUAUAGAAAGUGUGGGACUCGAGAGGCAGGCAAAGGCUCCAAAAGUAUACAGACAUUGUAGCACUAGACGUGUUUUGACGAUGGAGAGGCUUUAUGGAGUUCCCCUCACUGAUCUUGAUUCUAUAAGAUCACUUACUCCUGAUCCCGAGAUGAGUCUUGUAACUGCACUUAAUGUGUGGUUUGGAAGCUUGAUUGCUUGUGAGUCCUUUCAUGCAGACGUACAUGCAGGAAACUUAUGGUUGCUUCGUGAUGGUCGUAUUGGGUUCCUUGAUUUCGGAAUUGUUGGGCGGAUAUCUCCGAAGACA